rnacentral:lncRNA from 1 species
GACCGUAUCCCUUGUGUGCUACUGCCCACUGGGUUUCUUUUUACUGGAAAGGCAGUGGUGAGCUGUGGGAGAAAAUCCAAACCUGAAAGGUAGGACUGAAAAUCCAGACUGAAAAUAUCUUUGUCGUCUCCUUUUCCUGGAGGAUCUUCAUUUGCUUUAGACGCAAUAACAUCAUCUCUGACGGGAGAAAACACAUCUCCUAAACUGCUUCGACCCAAGUCAUCAAAACUGUUUAAAUCUGCACUUUUCCCAUUAUCUGUUUCUUUCGAUGGAAUCACAUCCAGGCUGCAGCUGUGGGGAAGGCCUGUUUUAUCCUGAAGAAUCUCUCCCCC